rnacentral:lncRNA from 10 species
CUGAAACAUCCGCUCAGGGCCACAUGACCAUUUUCAGGAGCUCACUCUGGGUGCGUGUGGAGAGUAGAUUUCAGGCGUGGGAAGAGGAGUGGGAGCAGGAGGUCCCAUGGGGGCUGUUGUAAUGACCCAGGUGAGGACAGAGGUGCAGACUUUGGGACAGCAGCAGGGUGUGGACAGGAGUGGACAGACGGGGUGCAUUUUCAAUUCAAUAGAUUCCAUGGCAGCUGGAAGAUGAGGGAGGGCCUGAGGAUGCUGCCUGCUCACUGGCUUGAGGAACCGGGCGUUUGGUGGCGCCACCAACUGAAAGGGGACACUGAGUCUUUGGUGGCUUCAUUGAAAACUUGCCAGAUAUGAAAGCCUGAGACGCUCCGAUAACUGAGCCUCCAGGCUGUCCUCCCAAGGGCCUUCUGGAUAGGAGGCCAUGGGUACAAAGGAACUGGCAUCCUGGUUCCCAUGUCCCAGGCCCAACCCAGGGACUGAGCCCCAGGAAGACCACAGAGCAGCACAAAGCCCAGAUCUGCUGCUGCCUGGGCAGAGCCAAGCCCAGGAUUUAUGAAGGAAGCUGGCAGGAGCGGAAAAAUUCCUUCGAAGAUUGCCUCACUCAUCACCAUCCUCGGUGGCACCCUCAACCACAGGAUGGAGAAUCAUUAGAAGAUGGCAGUCUCAUAGGGUCCUUCAAAAUUACCACUUGCAUUUGAACAAAGCUGUGCUUUCUUAGCCCCAACCCUCCCCAUAAGCCUGGGCUAUCAACUGGAGAUAAAUUUAGCUGCAAAAAAAUGUCAAGAUUCAGAUACCCAGCUUAAUCAAGGACACAUUCUUCAUUCCUCGGACUGUUGUACUUCUCAGGAGACCCCAGGGAUUGCAUGAGAGACUGAAUCAUCUUAUCCUGCCUGAAGGUGCC